CAUGUGUGACGACAAAUUACACCCUGAGAAUUGUGACUUGUUUUCCAUACCUCAAAGAUCCAUUCUCCAAACCUGGACAUGUACAGAUGCUUAGCUUAGCGGCAGUGGCUCAGGAGGUAGAGCAGGUCGUCCAGAAAUCGUAAGCUGUUUGGUGAGGAGUGCAAGGAGGCGCUAUCUACAAUAAGACAUUCAACCGAUGAAUCCGUGGUCAAAGAAGAUGAGAGCAACUUUCCAGUAUCGGCAGAAUAUGAUCCGAGCAAAAGAUGUAUCAUCAUCUGUCCUCAAUGUGUUCCCUCGCUUCCUUGAUGUUCCUGGAUUGGUAAGGAAAUCUUUAGUAUUUGGACUAGUUCAGUAUUAGAUUACCCAUUACAUCAACCAUUUGUAAAGCUGCAGGCCUACAGUAUAUGAAAUAUUCAUGUCUUGUUCAUACAUUGACCAGGA